rnacentral:rRNA from 1 species
UACAGAGGCCACGAGCGUUAGGCGGAAUCACUGGGCUUAAAGCGUGUGUAGGUGGAUGACUAAGUACCUUGUGAAAUCCCACGGCUCAACCGUGGAACUGCUUGGUAUACUGGUUGUCUUGAGGCACUCAGGGGCGAGCGGAACAGAUGGUGGAGCGGUGAAAUGCGUAGAUAUCAUUUGGAACGCCAAUGGUGAAAACAGGUAGCUGGGAGUGUGCUGACGCUGAGACACGAAAGCCAGGGGAGCAAACGGG